GAGACAGUGUCAGGUGGGCAGUUUGACUGGGGCGGUCGCCUCCUAAAGAGUAACGGAGGCGCCCAAAGGUUCCCUCAGAAUGGAUGGAAAUCAUUCGCAGAGUGUAAAGGCACAAGGGAGCUUGACUGCGAGACUGACAAGUCGAGCAGGGACGAAAGUCGGGCUUAGUGAUCCGGUGGUUCCGCAUGGAAGGGCCAUCGCUCAACGGAUAAAAGCUACCCCGGGGAUAACAGGCUUAUCUCCCCCAAGAGUCCACAUCGACGGGGAGGUUUGGCACCUCGAUGUCGGCUCGUCGCAUCCUGGGGCUGUAGUCGGUCCCAAGGGUUGG
rnacentral:rRNA from 1 species